rnacentral:lncRNA from 1 species
GCCUCGCCCACUCUCGAGCUGUGGUCUUCCAAAGUCGGGCGGCGCACCAGCCGCUCUCCUUGAUCUCGCCGGUUGCGGUGCCUCGCCGAUGUGCAGGGCCAAGGACGUGCCGAUGCAUCGAGAUGCCCCUCGCCCAGCCUACUGGCGCUCCGUCGACGCACCUGGCUCCUCCUCGACGCCUCAAGCCGUCCCGCGCCGCAUGUGUCUAGGUCUCGUGCCCGUCCAGGCCACCAGCAUGCUGCCGUCCCACGCUCUACCGGAGCCCUCUGCCCGUCGUCAUCGUGGCAAGCUGCCGCCUCUACUAGGAUAGCGCAGAAGCCGACGCGAGGAGGCGCCCCAUCUCCCCGUUGCUCUGCCUUCGUGUCAAGGCGAUGGAGAUGUGCGAGAGCUGAGAGGGAUGGGAGGAGGAGCGGCCACGGUGAAGUGGCCGAAGGAGGUGCUGGCAUGGCGGCGGCGUGGGGAGCGAUUGGAGGCGCGCGGGCCUCACCGCUGCCUCCUGAGGUGAGCCUCGCCGUCACUUUCUCUUGGUGCGAUGCUGCAUGUACAAUAGCCGGCGAGGUCUGUAUCUUGCGUCAAGAGUAGCGCUUGGGGAUCUUCAGGAGGUCCAUCGACAGCAAUACACAGCUGCAGGAAUGACAACAGGUGGACUAGCUCAACGUGAGGGUGACCAUGGGCAAGGGGUGCUGUGGCUGCUCGAGGUCUGGUGGUCAUGACAGGGGGCGAUGUGACUGUCAAGGUCUGGUUCGUUUUUGACGCCGCAGAGGUCGUCCGUGUCACUCCGAUCGGCUAACCGGCUGAUCCCACGGCCACGGGUGAGGCGAAAUCUCCCUAUUAUACCUGCAAAUCUUUUGCGUCCUCUAUUCACUGAUUAGUAUGCGGCGAGCUGAUUGUGAUGGUCAUACUUGGGUGCAGAGUGCAGGCUCCUACUUCAGGCUUCGAUCUAGAAACAAUUUCCCUGGGUGAAUGUAGGGAUGUACUAUGUAGUGUGAUUAAUUCGUUCAAGCUUUGUGUUCUUGAUUUUUCAUAAAAUUACGAAGUCUGCCUGUGUGAUUUGAGUGAAAUUUGUUGGUUGGGACAGGUUUACUUAGGCCUGCAACUUAGUUCUGCAUUAUGGAAGGUUUACUUAGUCCUGCAAAUUCGUCAAGUCUGAAUAUACAAGGUGGCUUACAUGUGAGUUCUUGCCCUGUUCAUGAUGGAACUAUGUAUCUCCAUUAACUGCGUGGGCUGCACUUAUUUGAAGUUUGUAUCUACCUCUUUGCUCACGAUUUGUUCGAUCAAAUUUUGUAUAAAUACCUAGAUUGUAUGAAUGAAUUUAUGUGAUUCUCCCUGGAAUUUAUGAAUACAUUUUUUGCAGAAUUGGACUGAUAUAAAUUAUUUGAAUUUGGAUUACUGAUUCUUUCUCAAAUAUUUCAGUCCCUGCAGCAACAGCAGUGUUAUUUGACAGAAUUGCAUCAGCCCUGAAGGGUUUGGAAACAUCGAUUCCUGCCAUUAUAAACAAAACAAUGUUGCGUUCUCGCUGCAUAGUAUUAGAAGGACUCAUGUAUGAAGUAUCUAUUUUAAAGAAAUUAAACCUAUCUUUGGAAUUUUGAUUCCCGGGUCUGAAUUCAGAUCUAUAUAUUUUUAUCUUUUUGUAAUGGUUUGCCUCCUGCAAUCAUUUGUUUGCCUUCAUCUGCAUCCGCAUGAAGAUUAAAAAUGGAAGAGAAAUCAAUGAACUAUAUUGUUCCGCCGUACAUAGACCGGAAAGAUUUGAUGUAUGUAUAGCGUAUUUUUAAGGCAUGGCCAUCUCAGCAAUAAUCAGUACAUUACAGGAUUGUCACCAAAGAUGUGAAAUCAAGGUCAUAUAGAUAGUCAUGCAUAGCAGAUUGUUUAUAUUCAGAAGGAAAGAAGACAGAAACAGUAACAGACCAUGUAUUUUUAUCAGCGAAUUCAGCUUAGUUAGCUUUGCUUGAUAUUGGUUUGCAAAAUCUAACUCUCUUAACUCCUCUUUUAAGUGAGGGUUUGCUCUGCUCUAUAAUUUUCUUCCAUUUUCCAAUACAAAUUGUGUUUAAAUGAUACGUGGCAUUGCGAAUUAUGACCAACUAGCUACGGUUUAGUAUGGUAUGGUUUUGUUCUGGCUCAUUUCAUUGACUGUGGUUGGUUGUUAUCAUUUUAUACCCACAUUUUCGAACCUUAGAGAAAGGGACGGCAACAAAGCUUCAUAUUUCAGCUACUGACAUCAUAGUGUGCAUGUUAUGGGCACAACUAAGUCUUCUUGCAUGUUGCAGUAAUGUACAGUUGGACGUUAAGCUAAUUUUUCUUUUUGCAGGUUAAGCUAAUAGCUUCAUAGAUGAAGUUUUGUCUAUCUUGCUGUAUAAAUUAUAGCAUCGUGUAGACCGAUAGCUGAAAUUUAGUCUACCUUGCACUAUAAUUUUUGGCAUAGUGCAAUUCAUCUUGCGGCCUAAAUUAUCUUCACUAUAAAUUCUGGCAUAGUACAGUCCAUCUUGCUGUAUAAAUAUUGGCACAGUGCAGACAAGGCAUGAGAAAAUGGCUUGCCGAGCCAACACCGGCAACACUGCACCAUGAGGAUGGUCGGUGGGCACCAUCAAACAAAUCUCAAUAGUGGUAUCUUGCAUUCGUACGAGCAUCGGUCCGGCCUUUUUAAAUACGAACAACAAAUCGCUGCAUUUUACGAGCCUUUUUCUGAUCUAUUCUUAUUGCUUGAGAAUUUUAAGGAGCAUUGUGGGUUUCUCUGCCCAUGAGGAAACUACAUUUUGUAUGUGAUGCAUGUUUGGCUGAAAUCCCCCCUUCUACCUUUUGCAGAGCUCUCACAAAUCAAGUAAAUUACGAAGUGGCCUGAAUGUCUAGGUUCUAGCUUGCUUUGAAUUUAUGAAUUAUCGCUGCUAUAUUGUUAUCUCGGGAUAGUGAAAUAGUCGAGUUGUACUAUCUCCAUCCGUAUAUAGACAAAUCUAAGACAAGUAAUUUGCGACCGAGGGAGUAGUUGACUGUCCCUAUGAUAGGAGCGUAUUCGUUGACCGCUCACGCUUCUGUAUAUAAAUGUGCAUUCGAGUUGUGGCUGUUUAUCUCAGCAUACAGUUUGCUCUUUUUUUCUGACAAAGUACAGUUCGCCCUUUUGAGCCAUUUGUGUUUGCGAUUGUUGGGUUUGAUAGGAAUUCUUAUCAUGCUAGGAUCAUUACCCCAUCGGCAAUGUUCAAGUGUGGAUCAAGAUGGACGUCCCAUGAGUAUAAGGGGAGGCGUAAAUGCAUACAUACAUCUUCCGAGGCAACCCGGCUCCGAUGCAAGUGUCAGCCGAAGAGAAUGCCGGGCAAGCUGCACUUCAACACCACUGCACGACGUGAGCAUCAACGGCUACAACCCUGAUGCGCUCGGCACAAUUCUUAUAAUUGUUUCACAGACAGGAUCAGGCAAGAAACAAGGAAUGGCAAGCGGAUGGCAUGCAAAUAAGCCCUCACCCUCCACAAAGAGAGGAGACCGGACGUAAAAGGGUUCUGAAGAUCUGCCUUCGGUUUAUUCAGUUUUUAGACCGUCUUCACACUCCCACUCUGUCCUCGAAUAGGAAGCACACCAAUCCCACAGGGGGCUGCACUAGAAUGAUACAAGUAAAACAUUUGAUCUUAGUACAAGAAUAGCACUGUUUACUACUUUGUAAAAUAUAUCGAUCAUGUGAUGAUUAAAACCUAUGCUUUCCAAUUCUCACCUUUAUACAUAGCUUGCCUUAUUGUAACCCCCAAA